UACGAAGGGGGCUAGCGUUGUUCGGAAUUACUGGGCGUAAAGCGCACGUAGGCGGGUCGUUAAGUCAGGGGUGAAAUCCCGGGAGCUCAACUCCGGAACUGCCUUUGAUACUGGCGAUCUAGAGAUCGAGAGAGGUGAGUGGAAUUCCGAGUGUAGAGGUGAAAUUCGUAGAUAUUCGGAAGAACACCAGUGGCGAAGGCGGCUCACUGGCUCGAUACUGACGCUGAGGUGCGAAAGCGUGGGGAGCAAACAGGAUAGA
rnacentral:rRNA from 1 species